rnacentral:rRNA from 1 species
AGCUCCAAUAGCGUAUAUUAAAGUUGCUGCAGUUAAAAAGCUCGUAGUUGCAUUUCCGAGGCAAGGGAUUAGUCCGACCUUUGGUGGGUAUUUAAUCCUCUUGCCUCGUCCUUGAGUGGUGCUUCUUGGUAUUAAGUUAUCGAGGAGAUAGCCGCUCAUCGUUUACUGUGAGAAAAUUAGAGUGUUCAAAGCAGGCUUAUGCCGUUGAAUAUAUUAGCAUGGAAUAAUAAGAUAGGACCUCGGUACUAUUUUGUUGGUUUGAGAACCAAGGUAAUGAUGAAUAGGGACAGUUUGGAGUAUUCGUAUUCAGUUGUCAGAGGUGAAAUUCUUAGAUUUACGGAAGACGAACUACUGCGAAAGCAUUUACCAAGGAUGUUUUCA